GGCACAGGCGCGCGUGCAAGUUAUGGGCCACGGCUCAGGCCUGGUCCCACUAACGGCAGCCAUCCACCCCACCCACUCCAUCUCUCAUCGAUCACCCAUCCUCUUCCAGAUCUUUCCUGCUCGUCUCCUCUCCAACAACGUCGCAAGAAACUAGAUCGGCGGCCAUGACUUCCGCAGCUUCUUCCUUGCAGCCUGGGAAGAUACUCCCGCUCAUCUGUGCUCCGCUCAUAAAUUUACCCUGUUUUGCCCCACGUCCGCAGGCUGGACUUUGUUCAUUCAUGAGAUCCAGCGACACGUACCUGCCGGAACUGAUUCGCCAUGGCCUCUCCCACCCGUACGGAUUGCAGCAGCCUCUAAUCGUGCAUUCAGCUUCGUCCCUCCACCAGAGAUCUCGCCAGGCAGCAGAGCAGUUAGACUUAGACACCCUUUAGCUAAUUAGCGUGAGCUGACAGUGUUGUCCCAAAUGUAUUACGGACCAAUGUAAUUUGCUUUCACAUUUAGAAGUACGCCUUAGCCUUUGUCAUCAGUCCUGGUGGUGCUUUUGUUUGUGUCUACUCUUCUGUAAUCAUGGGUUCUAGUAAUAAAAUACGACUGCCGCGUCACAUGAG
rnacentral:rRNA from 1 species